rnacentral:rRNA from 1 species
AUUGAACGCUGGCGGCAGGCCUAACACAUGCAAGUCGAACGAGUGGCGGACGGGUGAGUAAUGUCUGGGAAACUGCCCGAUGGAGGGGGAUAACUACUGGAAACGGUAUCUAAUACCGCAUACCAUCGGAUGUGCCCAGAUGGGAUUAGCUAGUAGGUGGGGUAACGGCGCACCUAGGCGACGAGCCCUAGCUGGUCUGAGAGGAUGACCAGCCACCCUGGAACGGUGACACGGUCCAGACGCCUACGGGAGGCAGCAGUGGGGAAUAUUGCACAAUGGGCGCAAGCCAGAUGCAGCCAGGCCGCGUGUAUGAAGAAGGACUUCGGGUUGUACAGUACUUUCAGCGAGGAGGCGUUACUCGCAGAAGAAGCGCCGGCUAACUCCGUGCCAGCAGCCGCGGUAAUAC